rnacentral:lncRNA from 1 species
UCAUGAACUUCUUGUCCGCGCGCGUCAUAAAUCUGUUGACGGCGCGCUCGUUGACCAUGUUGCGCAGGAGAACCGCGCCCCACGCGAACGUCUCUCUCGCCUUGGCCGCGAGCUCCGGGGAGACGGGCGCGAACGCGGGCGCGUCCGCGUGGAGCGGCGAGAAGAUGGGCGCGUCCGCUUGGAGCGCGGACUCCGCGGCGACCUCCUCGGCGAUCGCGGCGAUCGUCGCGGCGAUCUCCUUGGGGCAGAAUUUCUUCUCGACGACGACGUUUUCCUUCUCGGCGACCGCCGCGUUCAUGACGACCGACCGCG